rnacentral:tRNA from 1 species
GGAGAGAUGGCUGAGUGGUUGAUAGCUCCGGUCUUGAAAACCGGUAUAGUUGGAAACAUAGAACUAUCGAGGGUUCGAAUCCCUCUCUCUCCU